rnacentral:rRNA from 1 species
GACGAACGCUGGCGGCGUGCCUAAUACAUGCAAGUCGAACGCAGUGAGGACGGGUGAGUAACACGUUGGUAACCUCCCAUCAGAGGGGAGAACACUUGGAAACAGGUGCUAAACCGAUACUGAUGGAUGGACCCGCGGGUCAUUAGCUAGUUGGUGAGGUAACGGCUCACCAAGGCCACGAUGCAUAGCCGAACUGAGAGGGUGAUCGGCCACACUGGGACUGAGACACGGCCCAGACUCCUACGGGAGGCAGCAGUAGGGAAUCUUAGGCAAUGGACGAAAGUCUGACCGAGCAACGCCGCGUGAGUGAAGAAGGUUUUCGGAUAGUAAAACUCUGUUGUUAGAGAAGCGUUACCAAACCAGAAAGCCACGGCUAACUACGUGCCAGCCGCCGCGGUAAUAC